CGAUUCUGCCACGCCCAGCGCGCGCAUUCUCCAACAAAAUACACAUGAAAUGGAUGCACAGAGAAUCGAGUCGAGCCGGCGUCGCUUGUAGCUCGCGCGGUUCAGUCACGCACGUCACAUCAGUCAGUCGAGUAGCGAUCUCGAUAGCCUGCGAACCGUACGCACGGCGCACACGUGCCCUCGCGCCCGUCCCUUAUCCACAUCCACACCGCCGCACUCCGCGCGACCAUCGCUCUCGGUGCCGAUCCGACCGGUGCCUCGCUCGCUUUUGACCUAUUAUGUAAUACGAAAAUAAACACCGCGCCUUUAACAGCGAGCACGUGUGCGCACCGGCUGCUGUACAUCGCCGUCCACAUCCGACCACCAACAAAUUCAUCUCCAUAACCUAAGAAAACGCGAUCCUUCAUCUUCAAUUUGUGUAGCUCCAGUUGCGUCUACUUUGGAAAUAUAUUUUCAAUCAUUCUCAAAUUGAGAUCGAUAUUUGCUUUGUCGGUGCCAUCAUUUCUUUAUAAUUAAUUCAAAGGUGAUCAAGUGUUGUAGUGGAUUGUUGUUAGUUAUCUAAUAUCAAUCUUUGCAAAAUGUCUAACUCAAUGGAACAGCAAUUUGGCGAACUGAGCCUCUCACAGGAGGAUCAUGACCAAAUAUUUGAACAGGAGGAUCACCAGGAUCAAAGCCGAUCAAGGAUUCUCAUCAGUGGGCUCCCCCUGCAUGCUCGCUUCGACACCAUCGAGCCCCUGCUCUCACAGUAUGGCAACGUGCAACAUUGCGACAAAGCGAACUCACGCGAUGCCAACACCCAAGCGGUGUACAUCACAUUCGAGACCCCGGAGCAAGCGCAGCAGGCCAUCAACGGACUAAACGGGUGCGAGGUGGAAGGGAGUCGUAUGAAGGUGGAGGCGGCGGAUGGGAUGGCGCGAGGCGGCCGGCGUGGGCGACCGGGUGGCGGUCGCGGCGGCGGCGGCGCACCUGGCACUGGCGCGCGCCCCACGGACUUUCCGUUGCGCUUGCUUGUCCAAAGUGAUAUGGUUGGCGCUAUUAUCGGCCGUCAGGGCAGCACUAUCCGUCUCAUCACUCAGCAAAGUCGUGCUCGUGUCGAUGUCCACCGCAAAGACAACGUUGGUUCACUAGAGAAGGCCAUAACCAUUUAUGGCAACCCAGACAAUUGCACUAAUGCCUGCAAACGAAUAUUGGAGGUGAUGCAGCAGGAAGCAAAUAAUACAAACAAAGGGGAAAUAUGUCUGAAAAUUCUUGCACACAAUAAUUUGAUCGGGCGCAUCAUUGGAAAGGGUGGAAAUACCAUUAAAAGAAUAAUGCAAGAAACUGAUACCAAGAUCACUGUAUCCUCAAUAAACGAUAUCAACAGCUUCAAUUUGGAGCGAAUCAUCACUGUAAAGGGGAGUAUUGAAAAUAUGGCUAAAGCAGAGUCACAAAUAUCAGCAAAACUGCGUCAAAGCUACGAAAAUGAUCUGCAGGUGCUGGCACCGCAGAGUAUAAUGUUCCCGGGUCUGCACCCUAUGGCCAUGAUGUCGACUGGCCGCGGAUUUUGCGGUGCACCGCCGCCCUUCCCACCGCCCAUUUAUGCGCCGCUGGCCGGCCAAGGUGGCGCGCAACAGGGCGCCGGCGACUCGCAAGAGACCACUUACUUGUACAUCCCUAACAACGCGGUGGGCGCUAUCAUCGGCACUAAGGGAUCGCAUAUUCGGAACAUUAUUCGAUUCAGCAAUGCUUCUGUGAAAAUAGCGCCUCUUGAGCAAGAAAAGGGCGCGGAGGGCGGCACCAGCGCGGGCGCAGUGGGUCCUGCUGCAGCUGCGCAACAAGAGCGCAAAGUUACCAUCGUUGGUAGCCCAGAAGCGCAAUGGAAGGCGCAAUAUCUGAUCUUUGAGAAGAUGCGGGAGGAGGGAUUCAUGUCGGGGUCAGAAGAUGUACGGCUGACUGUUGAGAUCGUAGUGGCCUCAUCGCAAGUUGGGCGUAUCAUAGGCAAGGGAGGGCAGAACGUGCGUGAACUCCAGCGCGUCACUGGCUCGUUGAUAAAGUUGCCCGAGCAACCACAGCCGCCGGCCGCCGCAGCUCAUGAUCAUGAGACCACCGUGCACAUCGUUGGACCUUUCUACAGCGUCCAGCAGUCACCCGAAGCGGGAUGAGAGCCCUGUGACGACGUGCGCACAGUGGGUGAUGUCACAAUGAAAUGUCACAUGACGGCCGUCAUGGCAGCACAUUUAACGUUAUCAUCUUUUCGAUAGUCAGCGCAACGGCGCAUUCGUGCGAUGGUGGCGCAGGCGAGCGCCCCAGGUCGUCACCGACGCGCCGCGCCGCCGCCGCCGCCGCCCGCCCAGCAGUAGGCGCCGGUCACACCGACACCACCACCCGCCGCCACCUCUCCGUCGCCACUUCAUAGCCACGGCAACGCCUGCCCCGCUCCGCCUCAGCCCCGAUCCCACCCCGAAUUCCAGACUUAAGGCCCAGCUCAGUUAGCUCUGCCUUGUAGUCCCGCUGUGCGCAGCCUCAAGCGCUUUGAUUUGUUGGCAGCCUGUGUCCAAUGUUGUUGUUGACGUAAUUAUAUUAACGUAGUGAAUUAUAAUUAAAUACUAUUGACGAAUUUUAUCCCGGAAUUAAUGUUGAUGAGUAAUUGGAUAUAUAUUAUGUAUAUUAUAUAUAUUAUUCAUAUACACUAUUUUUUUUAACGAUAGUGACAGUUAUAUGAAUUAGCCGGAAUAUAUUUAAUUGUUAUAUUGUUUUCAUACCAUGUUAUUAUACUGCAUUGUAAAGAGUUUUCACUGAAGGCAAUAGUUGACGAUUAUGUUCUCUAUACAUAUACACAUGUUAGUAGCAAUAGGUAUAGUACAGCACCAUUUUUAUACAAACGAGAUGUAAUACAUAUUUUGUUUUGUUAUGAAAUAAUAGAUUAAUCUGUUGAAACACUACAAUAUACUGUUGAUUUUAGUCGAAAGGGUGUGUGGGUUGCGAACUCUGAUCUGGAAUGGAGAUACACGACAUCGCUUUACUCAUGAGGCUCAACGACAAACUAAAGCUUUGCAACUAUGAAGUAAGGAUAUCCUAAUGUAACACAUUGUGCGCGCGAGCCGAUAGAGGUGCUUGGCCGACCGCCGUCUUAUGGACGGGCUGACCAACUGACUGACUGACCAUAAGACGGACCACGCGACAGACUGACUAGUCGACUAUUUACUCGAAUCAACCAGCGGCGCUGCACUCCACCUGCGAUGGAUAUAAAUAUUUUUGAUAUAGUAGUCAUCGUUGGACGGUAAGGUUUAAAAGGUACGAGUUUUAAUUUGUAAGUGACAUUUGUUGAUCGUUUUCUUUGUAAUUUUGUCUUUGUUAGCUUUAUAACGGUUUUCCUGUAUCGAUGCGACAUUGGCGAUCGUCACACCGAGCCGCACCAGCUCAGCUAGUGCGGAGCGAUGCGGAGCGGUCGUUCGGUUCCACGCGACGAUACGGUUUUAUGCGAGUGUACGAUUUGCGUUAUAAUUGUGCCAAGUGAGAUAUUUAACUAUGAAAGUUUAAGAUUAAGUGAAUGAUAUCAAAAUUGAUGAAAAGCUUAGAUAUUUAUAUUUAUAAUUGUGAUAAUAAUAUAUGGAAGUUUUGGCAAAAAUGUGAGAAUGAUUUAACAUUCUUUUUCCAUUAUCUUAAUUCUUUCGAGCAGGGUUGUAACGCAGUGCAGAACUUCCACAUGACACGUACCUUCGCCUCCAAAAACGGAGUAAACGUAAGGAGGCUCAAUUCGGGUUGUUACCUUCUUAAGAUAACGAGUUGGCCCCGUAGGAUUAAUGCGUUAUUACUCGUUACUCGUUUAGUGUUUAUCGACAGAUAGUGUCUAGAUAAAAUAUUAAAUUAGUUUAUAAUAAUGGUUUUUUAGUAAUAGAGACGGUCUUAAUGUAAAAUUUUAUUAAUUUUUAGAUAGUUAAUAAAUAUUCAAAUAAGUGGCGAUAUAAAAUGUUCUGAAUGCAUACUUUCAAUAUACUUACAUCAACGUAAGUGAAUAGUGUGACGUCAACAAUGUGACGAAUCUUACAAAUUUGAGAUAAUGCAAUGGAUGUGCAACGCCAGCACAAUUCAUAAAAAUAAACUGGGUAAUUCCAUCUUUCCGCGGAGGUCAAAAUUUAAACCUUAUCUUUCUGCUUGUUAAUUAUUUUAUCCGUUAUAACCCUGCUCUCGAGGUUAGAAUAUAUGAAUUAUAUUUUACGGCGCCGUAAACUUGCGCUCGCUCCCAGGUGCAUAAAAUAAUUUUCAUUUCAAAUUGGCCCGCCGCUCCGCCGCGACUCUGAACAACCGAGCGCCUAAGCAGUCAUCGUUUGCCGACCCCACCUGGAUACUUCCACAUAUUAUUUAAAACUAUCUCGCUAUUGGCAUUCAAUUUUCACCGAAUCUACUGUUACCGAACGAUUUAAUGCUUUAACCACGAAGCUAAAUAAUUUUCAUCGAAUAAAAAAAAAUAUGAAUAGCCGUUCUGUGCGAGUUUAUUCUGUACCUUUCUGCAUACCGUACAUUAUGGACCUAUUUAUGACUAGUAUUUUGUAAUCUUUCCCGACUACUUCAUUUACUUUACGAAUUUAAUUAUGUUUACGUGCUUUCGCGUAUUUGUUUAUUCGGAACAUCGCUAAUGUACAUUAUGUACAACGUUUUGACAGUAUUGGCCUUAACGCCGUAUAAAAAAGUGUAGAGAAUGACAGUAGUCUGGUAAUAAAUAAACUUUAUUUUGCCUUAUCAUGACAAUCUGAGAACAUAACGGGCAUCUAUUCAUAAUAUAUAAUUUGAUUUUCAAUAGUAAAAAUAAGUUUAAAACAUUGUUGGCAAAUAGUAUAUUUGAGAUUUUAAUUAAAUUGAAUGAGAAUUAACCGUAUAGAAACGUUCCCCUUUAGUAAAAACCCGCGCCCAAUUUUUAUAUAACACCCUGCACGGUACUUGUAUUUUGAACGCUUUAUGCGUUAUAUUUAACAUUCCAUAUUUUGCUAUCACAUGAAAAAAAUAAAUGAUAACAAUUAUUAAUUAAUUAUUUAAACAUGUUCGUAUAAGAUCUACUGACAUGAUAUUGAGCGCGCGGGGUAGUUACGGUAUUAGUUAAAAAAAAAAAAUAGAUAACUACUACUUCUAUGUUGAACUGGAUUUCUGCGAAGUUAUGUUUGCCCAAGAUUUACGAUCUGUCAUUUAGCUUCUUUUGAAUAGGCUUUUUUUUUUAUUUAAGAAAGCCUCUUUAGCCUAAGUUGAUCCUGUUUGUUUGUAUAAAUACGUCAUAUCAUGUAACAGUUUGUUAAUAUUGGGAAUAUGUUUUGUACUAUAGGCGAGUACUUUAUUGAAUAUUAACAAAGUUUACAUGAUAUGGUCUCUGAUCUUAUUAGCUGCUCAAUUACAGAAUUUAAAAAGUUCCUUAACCUCACUGGGCAUAUUUUGUAAUUGUGUGGCUAAUAAUGCGAUUGAAAUGUAUUAUUAAAAGUAACAAUUCGCGUUAUAGCAAAAGUCCUAAUACCUAGUAGUUACACUAGAUUGUUGAUAGUCUACGUGAUAAAGGGCGCCUGUUUAGAACCAGGUUUAACCGGAACUGACCAGCAAUUGUUUUUUUUUAAAUAUCGAUUCAUUGCAAAAACUUGUCUACACGAUUACCGUGAUUAGAUUUAAUAAUAAACGACAACCCACAAAUAAAUAUAAACCAUGAUAUACUAAGGACAAUAUGUGCGAGCGCGUCGGCCGUUUAUAUUUUAUUUUGCAGUAUCUUAUUCGGUGUAAACGGCCGCUCGACUGCGACCGGAGGAGUGUACAUAUAGGCAUGUCGUUAAUUCCUUCCAUUUGUAAGCAAGAGUAUCAUAAUGUUGCACAUUAUGAUUUGUAAUGUGUUAGGAAGCAGAAAUUAAUAGUUUUAGUUGAUUAUUGUAUCGUUGUGAAGUAGUGUUAAGUUGAGGCAGGCGCGGGCGCGCGGCCCGAGACUGAACUACAUCGCCGCGUUGCCCGCGCCCAGCCAUCUAAAUGUCAUUCUCGCUGGUAAAAAUAUACUUUAUCAUUCUUGUUUGAUGGUUCUACUGUUAUAGACAUUAUAAUAUUCAUUUCUCAUGUGUGUAAUCAAUAUUUUGUGUAUUUGGCGUGUGAUCGACUGAAUUAUCGAUUUCAUUUUAUGUGCAUGAAUGUAUCUUAAAAAUAGUACCUACGCAAAAGGAAUAUACUUGUUUAAUAUUAUAAAAAGAGCGCGGUCGAGCACACGGCAUUCGGCGCCGAGAGCGCAAUGCCCCGUGCGCAGUGCCCGAGGGUCAUGUAUUGGGGAGCUGUUAUUGUUGCUUCUCGUCUGAGUAUAUUAAGGUCCAAUGUACAUUUUAGGAAGGUUGUUUUUUUUUUUAUUCAGUAUCUGUUCGUACUGGACGUUUCUUACAUAUUCAACCAAAUUUUCUUUGAAUUUUUACUGUUAUUUUUAGAACCAUUUAUAAUUGGUAUAAGUUCAGAAACUAAUAACUACCUCAAUAUUACUAAAUGAAUAUGAUAAUUAUCUUUGUGCAUGUUUUUGGGAACUGAAUUUAAAAAAAUACAAAAAUUCAAUAUAGUAUAAGAAUGCUAUUUUAAACAAUAAUGGAAAAUUGUCAAAUUUAGGUUUCUUAACGUAAUAAAAAUUGAUGAAAAUUUUA